ACUCUUCUACCUGAAGCAGAGACAGCACCAGGCGACCUGGAAGCAUACUUCUGGUAGCAAUGGGGACACGGGUCAAAGGGGACUUGAGGUUAUCAGCUUUCAGAAUGAAGACACAUAAUCCCUAUUAGAGUGGAAGACUUAAAAUCGAGUUUGAGACCCACCUUCUGAAACUGCAGGCUCUUGGGAGCCUGAUUUCCGGUGAAGAGUGUUGCUGCUUUGCAUUUUUCACACUUGAACACAGUGAAGAAGAUGAACAUUAAUUAGGAUUAUAGUGCCAUGGAGGCUUACUGUGCUGUGAGAACUCACAAGAAAUAAAAUGCCAUUUCUUUUUUUGGAUGCAAUUCUGAGUGUCAUGUAUGUAUUAGUUCUUGGGCCCAAGCCAAGUUACUUUAGGGGUGAUAUACAAUCUGUUAUUUUUAGAUCAUAUUGGGUAAGGG
rnacentral:lncRNA from 1 species